rnacentral:tRNA from 1 species
GGAGAUGGCUCAGUGGUAGGGUGCUUGCCUCGCAUGUGCAAGGCCCUGGGUUCGAUCCCCAGAACCA